UACGAAGGGGGCUAGCGUUGUUCGGAGUUACUGGGCGUAAAGGGCGCGUAGGCGGCGCAUCAAGUCAGGCGUGAAAGCCCUGGGCUCAACCCGGGAAUUGCGCUUGAGACUGGUGUGCUUGAGUUACGGGGAGAGGAUAGUGGAAUUCCCAGUGUAGAGGUGAAAUUCGUAGAUAUUGGGAAGAACACCAGUGGCGAAGGCGGCUAUCUGGACCGUAACUGACGCUGAGGCGCGAAAGCGUGGGGAGCAAACAGG
rnacentral:rRNA from 1 species